ACGGUCUUCGUCUCUAAAGUGAAGGCUGAAUAUUACAGGUGCCCUUAAAGCCGCAAAGCAUCACACAUUUCACACCUGUUUACCCUCUCUUUCUCUUAGAUAACACUUUCUCUCUCUUUUUUCUUUCCUCAAAGUGCCAGCGUCUCCUCUCCCCGUCUCAUUCUUAGCUUCCUACUUCACCAGAAAACUGAAGCAAUCAAAAAAGAAUGUCCAUGAGCUUCCAACAUCACGUUGGCUUGUGGCUGUGAUCUGAAUGUGUCUCCUCCACAAUUCAGCUGACUGAAGCUGACAACAAAUUUUCAGCCGAUAAGUAGAGUGAAGACUCUCAAACACUGUAAUGCGCAUGCCUACACUCUUAGACAUUAGGGGAAUCUCAAGAAGAAUUUGAGGAGGGAAAAACAAUAUGGGUCAGGAUGCUGAUGUCUUUCAACUCUCCAUGAAUUAAGUUUGAGGCCAGAACUUGGAUUGGGCAAAUUCCUCCUGAUCACACCACACUACGUUGAAGACGAGAUAGAGAACAGGAAUGGAGAAUUCAAAUGACUCACCAAAGUCACACGGUAAUUUUAAGUGUUGAAAAUGCGACCCAGAUCCAACUCCAAUUUUGCAGGUCUGCUUAUCCAUGUUCUGCCUUUCAGAAUCAGGAAUAGUCCCUAUUGACUCUCAGUAAAAGUGGUGAAAAUGCUAAAAUACAAGGUCCUCAAUGUAGAGUUGAGAUUUUCUAAAUAAGUUACUUUUUUUUUUUUUUUUUAGAAAU